GAUGAACGCUAGCGGGAGGCUUAACACAUGCAAGUCGUCGGGCAGCACGGGGUAGCAAUACUCUGGUGGCGACCGGCGCACGGGUGAGUAACGCGUAUGCAACCUACCCAGUACAGGGGGAUAGCCCGGAGAAAUUCGGAUUAAUACCCCAUAAUGAUAUUAAGAGGCAUCUUUUAAUAUUUAAAGCUUCGGCGGCACUGGAUGGGCAUGCGUAAGAUUAGCUAGUUGGUAGGGUAACGGCCUACCAAGGCUCCGAUCUUUAGGGGUCCUGAGAGGGUGAUCCCCCACACUGGUACUGAGACACGGACCAGACUCCUACGGGAGGCAGCAGUGAGGAAUAUUGGUCAAUGGGCGCAAGCCUGAACCAGCCAUCCCGCGUGAAGGAAGAAGGCGCUAUGCGUUGUAAACUUCUUUUCCGGAGGAAUAAAAUCUUGUACGCGUACAGGACUGAAGGUACUCCGGGAAUAAGCAUCGGCUAACUCCGUGCCAGCAGCCGCAGUAACAC
rnacentral:rRNA from 1 species